rnacentral:rRNA from 1 species
AACGAACGCUGGCGGCAUGCCUAACACAUGCAAGUCGAACGGACCCUUCGGGGUCAGUGGCGCACGGGUGCGUAACGCGUGGGAAUCUGCCCUCUGGUUCGGAAUAACUCAGGGAAACUUGAGCUAAUACCGGAUAAUGACUUCGGUCCAAAGAUUUAUCGCCAGAGGAUGAGCCCGCGUCGGAUUAGCUAGUUGGUGAGGUAAAAGCUCACCAAGGCGACGAUCCGUAGCUGGUCUGAGAGGAUGAUCAGCCACACUGGGACUGAGACACGGCCCAGACUCCUACGGGAGGCAGCAGUGGGGAAUAUUGGACAAUGGGCGAAAGCCUGAUCCAGCAAUGCCGCGUGAGUGAUGAAGGCCUUAGGGUUGUAAAGCUCUUUUACCCGGGAUGAUAAUGACAGUACCGGGAGAAUAAGCCCCGGCUAACUCCGUGCCAGCAGCCGCAGUAAAAC